UGGCGGUGUCUAGUAGAAAUAGAGAAAAUUUUGUUGAAAUCUGACGGUGGUCGGAGUAAAGUAGGACAAAAGAUGUUAUAGAAAAGAGUAGAGGCUGGUGGGGAUUGGGAUCGGACAAUUGAUAGACCGACGGAGAGGCCGAGAGUGAGAAGCAGCUGCAAAAGAAUAAUCCAACAUCGGUAUUUGGCUAGCGUAGAAAAAAUAGAGGAAGUUAAGAGAGAGAGAGAGAGAGAGAGAAGAACAGAAAGGAAGAAGGGAGUUUCCAGCAUCUGUAUUUGGUUAGCCGAUGAGAUGUUGCAAAUGGGCAAAUUUUCUUUUUAUCAUUCGAGUUAAUGGCGAUGGC
rnacentral:misc_RNA from 1 species